rnacentral:rRNA from 1 species
CACGUAGGCACCAAGCGUUGUCCGGAUUUAUUGGGCGUAAAGAGCUCGUAGGCGGUUCAGUAAGUCGGGUGUGAAAACUCUGGGCUUAACCCGGAGAGGCCACUCGAUACUGUUGAACUUGAGUACGGUAGGGGAGUGGGGAAUUCCUGGUGUAGCGGUGAAAUGCGCAGAUAUCAGGAGGAACACCGGUGGCGAAGGCGCCACUCUGGGCCGAAACUGACGCUGAGGAGCGAAAGCGUGGGUAGCAAACAGG